rnacentral:other from 1 species
GUCACCCUGCCCUGUGCGAUAAAUACGGUUCAUAUUAACCCAACACGUUUUACAAGGGAGCUUAGUCUCCGGCGGCAGACUGCAGACCUCCCGGCUUUGCCGGAAGAAGGGAGCGCGAAACCGUCGGGCGGCACCCACCUGCUUUGGAUGCAGGUUACUAUUGCCGUAUCCGGCUCGGCGGGGCUUCU